AGUGAACGCUGGCGGUAGGCCUAACACAUGCAAGUCGAACGGCAGCACAGUAAGAGCUUGCUCUUACGGGUGGCGAGUGGCGGACGGGUGAGGAAUACAUCGGAAUCUACUUUUUCGUGGGGGAUAACGUAGGGAAACUUACGCUAAUACCGCAUACGACCUACGGGUGAAAGCAGGGGAUCUUCGGACCUUGCGCGAUUGAAUGAGCCGAUGUCGGAUUAGCUAGUUGGCGGGGUAAAGGCCCACCAAGGCGACGAUCCGUAGCUGGUCUGAGAGGAUGAUCAGCCACACUGGAACUGAGACACGGUCCAGACUCCUACGGGAGGCAGCAGUGGGGAAUAUUGGACAAUGGGCGCAAGCCUGAUCCAGCCAUACCGCGUGGGUAAGAAGGCCUUCGGGUUGUAAAGCCCUUUUGUUGGGAAAGAAAAGCAGCAGGUUAAUACCCCGCUGUUCUGACGGUACCCAAAGAAUAAGCACCGGCUAACUUCGU
rnacentral:rRNA from 1 species